rnacentral:rRNA from 1 species
GGAGGAAAAGAAACCAACAGGGAUUCCCCUAGUAACGGCGAGUGAAGCGGGAACAGCUCAAAUUUGAAAUCUGGCCCUCGGGUCCGAAUUGUAAUUUGUAGAGGAUGCUUUUGGUGCGGUACUUUCCGAGUUCCCUGGAACGGGACGCCUUAGAGGGUGAGAGCCCCGUACGGUUGGAUACCAAGCCUUUGUAAAGCUCCUUCGACGAGUCGAGUAGUUUGGGAAUGCUGCUCUAAAUGGGAGGUAAAUUUCUUCUAAAGCUAAAUACUGGCCAGAGACCGAUAGCGCACAAGUAGAGUGAUCGAAAGAUGAAAAGCACUUUGAAAAGAGGGUUAAAUAGCACGUGAAAUUGUUGAAAGGGAAGCGUUUAUGACCAGACUUUUUCCAGGCGGAUCAUCCGGUGUUCUCACCGGUGCACUUCGUCUGGUUGAGGCCAGCAUCGGUUUUCGUAGGGGGAUAAAAGCGGUAGGAAUGUGACUCCUUCGGGAGUGUUAUAGCCUGCCGUAUAAUACCUCUACGGGGACCGAGGUUCGCGCAUCUGCAAGGAUGCUGGCAUAAUGGUCAUCAACGACCCGUCUUGAAACACGGACCAAGGAGUCGAACAUUUGUGCAAGUGUUUGGGUGUUAAACCCUCACGCGUAAUGAAAGUGAACGGAGGUGAGAGCCCUUACGGGUGCAUCAUCGACCGAUCCUGAUGUUUUCGGAUGGAUUUGAGUAAGAGCAUAACUGUUCGGACCCGAAAGAUGGUGAACUAUGCGUGGAUAGGGUGAAGCCAGAGGAAACUCUGGUGGAGGCUCGCAGCGGUUCUGACGUGCAAAUCGAUCGUCAAAUCUGCGCAUGGGGGCGAAAGACUAAUCGAACCAUCUAGUAGCUGGUUACC